GACGAACGCUGGCGGCGUGCUUAACACAUGCAAGUCGAACGGCAAGGCCCUGCUUUUGUGGGGUGCUCGAGUGGCGAACGGGUGCGUAACACGUGAGUAACCUACCCUUGACUUUGGGAUAACUUCAGGAAACUGGGGCUAAUACCGGAUAGGAGCUCCUGCUCCAUGGUGGGGGUUGGAAAGUUUCGGCGGUUGGGGAUGGACUCGCGGCUUAUCAGCUUGUUGGUUGGGUAGUGGCUUACCAAGGCUUUGACGGGUAGCCGGCCUGAGAGGGUGACCGGGGACAAGGGGACUGCGAUACGGCCCAGACUCGUACGGGAGGCAGCAGUGGGGAAUAUUGCACAAUGGGCGGAAGCCUGAGGCAGCAACGCCGCGGGCGGGAUGACGGCUUGCGGGGUGUAAACCGCUGUAGGCUGAGACGAAGCGGGAGUGACGGUAAUGGGUAAAGAAGCACCGGCUAACUACGUG
rnacentral:rRNA from 1 species